CCUACGGGGGGCUGCAGUCGAGGAUCUUCGGCAAUGAGCGCAAGCUUGACCGAGCGACGCCGCGUGUGCGAUUGAAGGCCUUCGGGUUGUAAAGCACUGUCGAGGGGGAGAAAAGCCCGCAAGGGUGUGAUCUAUCCCUGGAGGAAGCACGGGCUAAGUUCGUGCCAGCAGCCGCGGUAAGACGAACCGUGCGAACGUUGUUCGGAAUCACUGGGCUUAAAGGGCGCGUAGGCGGGCUGCCGCGUCCGGGGUGAAAUCCCACGGCUCAACCGUGGAACUGCCUCGGAUACGGGCGGUCUCGAGGGGGGUAGGGGCACGCGGAACUGUGGGUGGAGCGGUGAAAUGCGUUGAUAUCCACAGGAACUCCGGUGGCGAAGGCGGCGUGCUGGACCCCAUCUGACGCUGAGGCGCGAAAGCCAGGGGAGCAAACGGGAUUAGAUACCCGUGUAGUC
rnacentral:rRNA from 1 species